rnacentral:tRNA from 1 species
AGGCUUGUAGCUCCAGGUGGUUAGAGCGCACCCUGAUGAUAAGGUGAGGUCGGUGGUUCAAGUCCACUCAGGCCUACCA